ensembl:lncRNA
CCAUAGACCCAGGACCCUGACAAUAGAACCUGACCAUAGACCCAGGACCCUGACAAUAGAACAUGACCAUAGACCCAGGACCCUGACAAUAGAACCUGACCAUAGACCCAGGACCCUGACAAUAGAACCUGACCAUAGACCCAGGACCCUGACAAUAGAACAUGACCAUAGACCCAGGACCCUGACAAUAGAACCUGACCAUAGACCCAGGACCCUGACAGUAGAACCUGACCAUAGACCCAGGACCCUGACAAUAGAACCUGACCAUAAAUCCCAGACCAUAGACCCAAGAUCCAGACCAUAGACCCAAGACCCUGACAAUAGAACCCAAACAUAAAUCCCAGACCAUAGACCCAAGACUCUGCCAAUAGAACCAGACCCAAGCCCCAGACCAUAGACCCAAGCCCCAGACCAUAGACCCAAGCCCCAGACCAUAGACCCAAGCCCCAGCAUUUCUCUACUACCCAGCACAGAGCUCAGCUUUUAUCCCCUCUUUAAUCCGGAAUCAAUAAUCAAGUAUCCACUUCUGCAUUGAUACAGUUCUGCUCUCUUUACUCCAGUCAUGGUACUGGACUAACUGUAUGUCACCUGCUCAGGGUGGUCUAUCUGUGAAGAACCAGGACUGAUAGUACCUGAUUGUUCAGACUGGACCAGCACCAUGUUGUAUGUUGUUCUGACUGGACCAGUAUCAUGUUGUUCUGACUGGACCAGUACCAUAUUGUUCUGACUGGGCCAGUACCAUGUUGUUCUGACUGGACCAGUACCAUGUUGUAUGUUGUUCUGACUGGACCAGUACCAUGUUGUUUGUGGUUGAGUGGCACAUUGGACCAGGUUUAAGUCAUGAUAGCAGUGUUCAACCUUUAUAACUAGAGAGGUUAUAAAGGAGCUAGGUAUGCUAAAUGUAAUGAUUAUCUAGGUAGGCCAGAUGUAAUGAUUAGCUAGGUAGGCCAGAUGUAAUGAUUAGCUAGGUAGACCAGAUGUAAUGAUUAGCUAGGUAGGCCAGAUCUAAUGAUUAGCUAGGUAGGCCGGAUCUAAUGAUUAGCUAGGUAGGCCAGAUCUAAUGAUUAGCUAGGUAGGCCAGAUGUAAUGAUUAGCUAGGUAGGCCAGAUGUAAUGAUUAGCUAGGUAGGCCGGAUGUAAUGAUUAGCUAGGUAGGCCAGAUCUAAUGAUUAGCUAGGUAGGCCAGAUCUAAUGAUUAGCUAGGUAGGCCGGAUGUAAUGAUUAGCUAGGUAGGCCGGAUGUAAUGGCUAGCCAGGUAGGUAGGAAGCUGUAACAUAGUUACCACUGAGGUGCAGUAUCCCAGCUAUGAUCCAUUUGUUCCACAUCUCUUAACAGGGUUGUUGAGAAGGCAUUGAUGGUUCUUCAACAUCUCUCAGCAGGGAUAAUGAGAAGGCAUUGGUGUUUAUUCCACUUCUCUUAGCAGGGAUAUUGAGAAGGCAUUGGUGUUUAUUCCACUUCUCUUAGCAGGGAUAUUGAGAAGACAUUGGUGUUUGUUUGACUUCUCUUAGCGGUGUUCAUAAGGCAUUGGUGUUUGUUUCAAAUAUCUUAGUCGGAUUUUUAAUUAAGGCAUUAGUGUUUGUUCCACAUCUCUCUGCAGGGUUGUUCAUAAGGCAUUGGUUGUAGAUUGUGGUAAGCCAUGUAACUUUAUUUAACUGUACCUAACUAUGUUAUAUGGUUGAUAUCAGAGGAAGGAACAGGCGCCAAACAGCAAUAAUAAUGUAGGAUCAAGUCUCAGGUGACAGUUAGUAGAUGAUAUUGUAAUAGAUUGUAUGUGAUAGGUGAUCCUUAGCUCAGGGCUGUCUAGCCGGCUGGACAGAUGCACUGCCGCUUUCUAGUCAGUGGCAGACAGACAGGCUUUUUAAAUAGCUAUAUUUUUAAAGACUGAGAGUAGUUGUUGUAUAUGAUGCCAACUUGCCUUGGCUGGUUUGACGCUCAGGUUCAGUUGUAGAAAGUGUGUAUGUGCGUGCGUGCGCGAUAGCAAUAUAAUGUCCACAAGGUGGCGGCAGCUACUCUGGGUUAUGUUGCCCUGUGUUAGUGUUGUUUCAUAAUUAGUGUUCCAAAGAGCACUCUUUUCCCUAUAUACUGUACUACGUUAGACAUCGGUCUAAAGGGCCAUGGUCAAAAGCAGGGCGCUAUUUUGGUAAUAGGUCGCCAUUUGUGACACUUCUUUUGGUCUGAUAGGAUAAGGAUUGUUUUCUUCUUAGUUAAUCAUCUCAUCACAGUCUUGUUUACACCUUUGUGUAAUCUUCUUUAAAAAGGGAUACUGCAUCUCAUGUAACUAUAUACCCUAGGAUCCUUUUUCCCUGGUCUGUGUUUCCAUGUUUGUGUAAAGCGUUUGUUUUACUUCAGAUUAUGGCCAGUGGGGAUUGAAGGUUAACAGAUGAGGUCAAACGUUUGUAUGAAACUCUGUCUUCAGUUAAAUUAAUGAAGGUCAGAAGGUUAAGGAAUACAACCAGAGACAUAAAGACCACAAGUAGACUGAUGCUCCUGUUCUAACAGACCUCUUUUUAGUGUUACCAGCCAGUCUGUCUAAGUAUUCAUGUUGUAUGACCUCUAACCUGUAGUAUGUUCUGACCCCUGUCACAUGACCAGUGUGUGAACCUCGAAGCUGUGGGUGAUUUAAUAAUGAUGUAAUUCAGGAUAUCUCUUGUGUUGGUUGACCACGGUCUGUAGUCCACAGUCCAAUCAGUAUAGAAUACCAAUAACCCUUGAGUCCCAAAUGGCACCCAGUUUCCUUUAUAGUCCACUACUUUUGACCAGGGCCCUAUGGGGUGCAAUUUGGGAUUCAGCCUGGCCCUGACUCCUGUUGUCUGUUCCAGCCAGUCCUCCUUUAGUGUGUUUACGCAGAAAAACGUGUCAUUUAUGGGAAUCAGAUGACACUCUUAUGAUACGAGUGAAUAACAAUGUCUUACUGGCAACAAAUCCUGUCAACUAUGAUUAUUUUUCUUGCUUUUUUUGUAGCUGGCCUACAUGAUUAUUGAAUUAAUUUAUUGUCAAUGUCCUGUCCUGGAAAGUUAAGUUCUUUUUAAUUUCAGGCAGCUUUAGAAUGGUUGUUUCUCUUGUCUUUAUGAUUUCUCUUUAAAAUAAGUAUUAUUUGACAUAAAGAAAGCACAACUGUAUAAUGAGUGAAGGAAUUCCUUGUAAGGAAUGGUGAUCAGAGGUAUUAUUGUCAUAAUUCUUUGGGUUUUGUAAAAUUUGUUGAUCAGUCUUGGGUGUGUAUGGUUGAACAAUCUAACUAUUGUAUUCUCUUUCUGCUCUGGGAAGCUAUAGGAAUCUGCUGGAAAGUAUUCAAGCAUUCAAACAGAUUCAACAUGAUUGCACUUUUGAUAAACAUUAGGAAAAAGCUCAGACUUUGUAUAUAUUUCUUUCAUUCUGUCUUUUUUGCUCUUCUUUAUCAAGGGUGCUUCUGAAUCAACUUAAUAUACAGUGCUGUGAGGAUACCACCUAAAAUCUUGUAUUGUUCCUCAUUUUGACACGUGGUGUCUUUUUUCCGCACUAAUGAGGGAUAAAGGUAUCCUGACUGAAUAAAAAACACUGACAAAAUUACACUAAUAUACUACUGCUAGCAAUCAUACACACAUAUAUGUAUAUGUGUAUAUAUGUAUAUGUAUAUAUAUAUAUGUGUGUAUAUGUGUAAUUUAAAUAAACUGAACCGCAUGUUCCUUAUGCAAAGUUAAUGCAUCAGUCUUUAUCAUCCCAUCAAAUGGCUGAAAGUAGAAUCAUUAUAGAAUGGCAGAAUCUAAAUCCAGAUUAUAAUACUCUGGAAAUGUUGUGGGGGGCUUGAAGAGGCCAUACAAAAAAUACCUCAAGAAUUACAUUCAAAGGAGUGUUGUAAAGAGGGUGGGGCAUAACAAACUUGAGGAGUAGAAAAGGUGAUGUAGGUUUCUUACAGUUACAAGACAAACUACUAGGUUUUAAGGUUAGCUUAAGGAUAGAGGUGGAUUUAUUUUGUUAUGGGGGAAAAGAAACCUCUUUCCUGUGAUAUACUUCUUCAGCCCAAACUAUAUAGCCAUGUUGUACUUCCUCUGGGCAAACUAUAUAGCCAUGUUGUACUUCCUCUGGGCAAACUAUAUAGCCAUGUUGUACUUCCUCUGGGCAAACUAUAUAGCCAUGUUGUACUUCCUCUGGGCAGUCUCAGGAGGAGCAGUCAGUGGAAAUAGUAGCUGGCCUUCCUCUGCUGUCCAUCCACAGCUAGAACCAGGGUCUCAAACCCACUCUGAACAGCAAGGGUGCUGCCGACCCAUUUCGCCACCAUAGUUUGUCAGAAUUUUCUUUUUCCGCUAUUCCUCCUAGGGCCCACAAUAUAACCCUCCCUGUUCAUGGCACAUAUCAUUGGAUUUUCCAAGCUUGAAAUCAAGCUGCCACUGAAUAUGUCUGAGCAGUGUUAUUACCUGAGAGUAUGCAGGAAUGCAGCUUUGGAUUGAAUGACAGUUCCAUGGCAGAGAAGGUUUAGAGAGACUUGGUCUCAGAACAGAUUAAUAUCAGACCAUUCUCCUCUGGAUCCAACUCCCUGUCUCUCACUAUCCCAAGGUACCAGUGACAUUUGAGUUUCUGUGUCUUUCACGGUAAACCACCUCCUCAGCCAUACAUACCCAGGGUUUGUUUCUUUGUCUUCUCUUGAAUGGCAUUAUGAUCAACCAAUCCUCUCAUUUUCCUGUAUUAUCCAGUGUACCAUAGUGUGCAAUGGGCACCAGGAAAAAUAAAAUCUAAGCAAACUGCUGCAUGGAAUAAACACUGAUGUACCAACACA